UUUUCAUUUUGGUUUUUUAACAAAGCAGAGCUUGGGAUAUUCGGUGCUGUUUUUUAUAGGUGAAACACAAACCUGAAGUCUUUAGUAUACACUCUUCUUAGAAGAAUACCAGCUGUGAUAUCCUGGAGAGCUGACUGUGUGAAUAUGUUUUGCCUGCCAGAUUUCUCCAUAUGUAUCCUUUGCUGGGUUUUUGUUUGUUUUAAUCUUUGUCUUAUAACCUGUUUGGUUCUGUCACAUCAAAUGUGCUGCAGAUGGAGGAUACACAAGACGUAGCAUUAUGGGUUCCUUAUUGUCAGGUGAGAUCUUCCUGCGGCCACAAUAUGUACCCUUGUCUCCUGACCAGUUCUCUGUAAUGUGAGCUCUGUCUUUGGCUGCUACUUUGCUUCUUAUUCAGCAACUAACUAUGACUGGGAAACUGCUAACAUAACUUUCCGCAGGGGCAGGCCUUGCGCUUCAGUAUCCUUCUGCCACCAAAUCUUAUUCAGCGUGUUCCUGAGCUCUUGUUCUAGUCUCCCAAAACUCUGGCCUGUGAAGAAAUAGCAAGAAGGCACAAACUGUUUAUUUCCUCAAAAUUUGUUUGUGAGGCUUGAAGGUGAAUUCUCUCGGAGAGGGGUGAUUUAACCCAUCACAUGCAGAGAUGACUCCGUAGAAGCAGGGAAAUCGUCUCGGCCUUUCCUUCCAUUUGGUGACAACUUUUUAACAAGGGCUUCACGAGCGUUCCCGGGAGAUCUUUCUAGCACAUUGCUGUCAAGAACAAAUAAGCAAGCCUGCUCUACCUGCAGAAGCAUGUGAGGAUGGAUCAGUCUCUGUAUCUUUUUGUUCCUGCCACAGUA